rnacentral:tRNA from 1 species
GUGGUCCAGUGGUAAGGACACUUGCCUCGCACCCUGGAAUCCCGGGUUCGAUCCAUGGACA